rnacentral:rRNA from 1 species
UCGAGAAUCAUUCGCAAUGGGCGAAAGCCUGACGGUGCGACGUCGCGUGGAGGAUGAAGGUCUUCGGAUUGUAAACUCCUGUCAUGUGGGAUAAAUGGCCGGGGCACGAAUAGUGCCUCGGAAUGAUAGUACCACAGGAGGAAGAGACGGCUAACUCUGUGCCAGCAGCCGCGGUAAUACAGAGGUCUCGAGCGUUGUUCGGAUUUACUGGGCGUAAAGGGAGCGUAGGCGGUUCGGUAUGUCGAAUGUGAAAGCCCACAACUCAACUGUGGAAAUGCAUUCGAAACUGCCGGGCUAGAGUACUGGAGAGGAGAGCGGAAUUCUUGGUGUAGCGGUGAAAUGCGUAGAUAUCAAGAGGAACACCGGUGGCGAAGGCGGCUCUCUGGACAGAUACUGACGCUGAGGCUCUAAAGUUAGGGGAGCAAACAG